rnacentral:rRNA from 1 species
UACGUAGGGGGCAAGCGUUGUCCGGAAUCAUUGGGCGUAAAGAGCGUGUAGGCGGCCCGGUAAGUCCGCUGUGAAAGUCCAGGGCUCAACCCUGGGAUGCCGGUGGAUACUGUCGGGCUCGAGUCCGGAAGAGGAGUGUGGAAUUCCUGGUGUAGCGGUGAAAUGCGCAGAUAUCAGGAGGAACACCGAUGGCGAAGGCAGGUCACUGGGCCGCAACUGACGCUGAGGAGCGAAAGCAUGGGGAGCGAACAGG